rnacentral:lncRNA from 13 species
GCCCAGGAUGGUCGACAGGAAGGGGACGCUUCGACCGUGGGGAGCAGGGCCCAGAGAGAGUAAAUCAUGUUCUCAAGGUCACAGGCAGCAGUUCAUAGAACCAGAUCUCACCCAAAACAAAUUCCAUUAACAGACCUCUGAGCAGAGAGCGAUUUCAUGAAUCACGAUGCACCUGCACACUCUGCUUUUCUCUAAUUGGAAUGAGGAGGGAAGUGUGUGCCUCUGAAGAGGGCGUCUGUCUGGGAACACUGCACAUUCGUUUUGACAGGAACAAGGCGGGCAAAGCAAUCUGAUUACUGACCCUCCGGGAGCCGAGAUCCGAUUAGGCCUCCGGGCGCCCGUGCCGGCCGCCCCGGACGGAGGCGGCUGGAGACAGCAGAGCGGGCGGAACCAGGUCUGGUUUAUGUUGAGGGCUAAGAUGCGUCUCUGGGGAUGCUUGCCAGCUCUGCUUGGACUUGGCAGCUUUGUUAACCUGGCAACUGGAGCAGGAGAGAGGCCCAUUUGAAAAAUUAAAGACAUGACGAAGGAAAAAAGGUCUCUGGAAAUUUCCAUCUGAGUGCUGGAGACCAAAUCUGUCCCCGCUGCUCCCAUGAGGACAGCAGCUCAGCUGCUAUCUUCCUGCCAAGAAGCUCAGCGGGGCGCGCUUCCACUCAGCCUGCUGAGGAAAAGCCGGCUAUUAGCAGUGUUAUUUUUUAAACAUGAGACGCAUUUUAAGAGAAUUCAGAAAACACAUUUGUCUUAAAAAUUACGACUUAUUCAGUGCAAGCUGUUUGCUGUGUAACAAGAUUGGGUGAAAUGAAAUCGGCUCCCGUGACAGGGCUUCCGUUGCCGUGUGCCAGUGUAGACGGUCCGUGUUUACAGACUUGAGAAUUUAUCGUUUUGAGCUCCAGAAAGAACCCACACACUUCCAUGGUAACCGUCGAUCUGUUUCCAGAGCUGUGGAUGGAUCCCCACCUUCUAGAGUUGUGUAGAAAUGGAGUCAGGAGGCCGGACAUGGUGGCCCACCCAUGUCAUCCCAGCCCUUUGGGAGGCCAAGAUGAAAAUAAUGUGGAAGAUGGCCGACCACUAACACCUCGGGAUUGUAGCUCCCAGUGAAAGCUCAGAGAACGAGACGACGCCACAAUUUUAGACGAAUUUUCGUCACUCACCGAUCAGCCGAUUCCCAGUGGAGGAGCCCCACGGGUCGCCAGCGUGACUCUUGUGGCCACUGCAGCGGUUUUGCAGGCGUCUCGGCGCAGCAGCUUUUCAUGCAGAGCCAACGGGACCACUUCCCCUACUGACCGGAGUUUGGAGCUCCGGGAAGUCAGAGCCACUUGUUGCGGACUCAAGAGGGAAGCCAGACCAGAGAUUCCCGGGCAGAAGAGCACA